rnacentral:rRNA from 1 species
CCUACGGGAGGCUGCAGUGGGGAAUAUUGGACAAUGGGGGCAACCCUGAUCCAGCCAUGCCGCGUGUGUGAAGAAGGCCCUCGGGUUGUAAAGCACUUUCAGUGAGGAAGAACGCCUGGUGGUUAAUACCCAUCAGGAAAGACAUCACUCACAGAAGAAGCACCGGCUAACUCCGUGCCAGCAGCCGCGGUAAUACGGAGGGUGCGAGCGUUAAUCGGAAUUACUGGGCGUAAAGCGCGCGUAGGUGGCUUGAUAAGCCGGUUGUGAAAGCCCCGGGCUCAACCUGGGAACGGCAUCCGGAACUGUCAAGCUAGAGUGCAGGAGAGGAAGGUAGAAUUCCCGGUGUAGAGGUGAAAUGCGUAGAGAUCGGGAGGAAUACCAGUGGCGAAGGCGGCCUUCUGGACUGACACUGACACUGAGGUGCGAAAGCGUGGGUAGCAAACAGGAUUAGAUACCCCAGUAGUC